AUUUCAGGAGCCAAUUAUAGACAUACAUUGUUCUAUUUGUUGUUGUAAUACAGCUUCCAGGAGAGCACAAACCUCACACCCCUUAAAGACAUGCCAACCACCCUGCUGCUACUGCUUUCUGAAGAGGUUGUUUCUGUUGGGGUAAUACCCCUGGGCUCUGCAAGCCCUCCUGUGAUGGUGUUAGUGCUCUUGCUGAAGUAUGCUCAUCUGGAAGCAUGUGUCAAAGAAGCUUGUACAAAUAUCUUUGCCAGUGCUUGGAGGGGGCAGUUAACACUGUCUGGUGUUAGGUACCCACUAAGAGACAGCACAUUCUCUGUGAAUCUUUUGUAGGGGAGAUGCAGAGCUGCAAAGUAGUUAGGCCAUGGCUCUGAAUACUGCACCCACCAUUCACUGCAGGGGAAGCCCAGGGAGUCUUAACUGCCUCCAGCCUUAGAUAUCUAUGUUGAAUACCUGAAGUUAGGUAUGGUAAACCAUGCCAGAAAUAAAAGGCAAUGCUUGGCACCUUUUGCCAGCAUCCAUUUCUCUGUGGUUGUCACUUGAGCCACUGUGGUGGGUGUUCACCCCUUGGCUUAGGUGGGUGCAUGGGUACUGGUGAGUAUUGGGGUGCUGUGGAGAUGCAAUUGUGCUUUCAUGUGGAAUUCAGACCAAGCUGCUCCGUUAAGUGGCUUUCCACACAUCAGACAAGGUACUCCACUCUGUGCUGAACAGUGGUGCUAGAAGAAAUAUAUGCGGUCUGAUGAUGCAGCACAGUGAAGCCUUGGAUCCACCUGCUCUCAGAGGAAAAGAGGGCAUAGGAAAGCAUGUCCGCCUGGGCUGAACUAAGCAGCUUUCUCUGUCCUUGCUUCUCUGUGGAGCCAGGAGUGCAAGUUUUACAACAUCAGGGCAGCAAGAGACUGAGAGAAGGGAAUGGAAAAUGCUGUUGAAAUGAUUGUCAAGGUUGUGAGCCAAGGUCAGGCUGUGUCAAAGAACAGGCAUUUUGAGGAUGUGCCAGAUACAGCUGCAAGAAGUAGCUCUGGAAGACGACCCAGGAUAAGAGACCUGCCCUCUGUAGGAGUGACCCCUGCAACCCUGAGGUCACUGCUGAGCUGAGUGGAAGAGGGAGCACCUAUGUAGGAAUAGGAGUACCUGAGCUGUAACCAGUCCUUGGAGCACCAGUGGCUGGUGUGCAGCUCCUGGAGCAUUCCAGGAGCCAAAGCAAGCGUUUGGGCCAGAGGGUUGCCUUGCUGCAGACCUCGUAAUUCCCAGCAGAAAUAGAGCUGCAAGAGCAGAAGUAUCAUAGCAGUUAGCUUGAGAAGAUGCUAUUGUGUGUAGAGGCAAAGGUGGCUGUUGUGGUUUUAGAUGGUCUUUUUACCAAUGCCAUAGAGACGUUUCCCUUCCCUUUGCCAGGGCUGUGUGGUAGGGUGGCAGCAGCUUAUGUGCUCAUUAUCAGUAUCCCACAGGCUGCAUCACUGCCAGCUUUCCAGUGAGACUGUGAUGAUAGGCUGUACACUGUAUGGGAUGUUGGACUGGCAGUAGUUCAUAGCUGGGGCUUUGCUCUUUUUGUGCUCAAUAAAGGCAAUUUAUAACAUU